rnacentral:rRNA from 1 species
GAGUGGGUAGAUGCCCCUUGGCCAGUAAUUCUGCAAAGGUGCUUAACCAAGCUCUGGGAAAUGUAUCAUGAGGAGAACCUUGGUAGAGUCCAGGACAAAGAGGCUCGUGAGAUAGAGGUUGCAAAACUGAAGAAGGAGAUGGAUUCUCUUGGCAAUCAGUACAAUCAGCUUGUGGAUGAUGUAUCCAAGCGGUUUGAUUACCAGGAUGGGCAGAAAUCCCAUGACAUGGAUUGCACAAGCCAGGCAAUCAAUGAACUUAAGGAGAAGAAGCAUCAGCUUGAGGAGCAGGCAAAGAUUAAGGUUCAAAUAUAGAAGCUUAAGCUCAAGAAAGAACAGAGGUGCAUCCUGCAGAGUCAAGCUGAUAUCAUUCAAAAAACCAGGAAGGCCAUGAAGGAGAUACAGGUGGAGAGAGACCUCCUUAAAGAAGAGAAGAAGAAGCUGGAGCAAUUCAUUACUGAGCUACUGAAGGCUGGCCAUGGGUACAAGGAAAAUCUGGACAAGAUCAAAGAAGUUGUCAUGAAGGAGUGA